CCUACGGGAGGCAGCAGUGGGGAAUUUUCCGCAAUGGGCGAAAGCCUGACGGAGCAACGCCGCGUGAGGGAUGAAGGCCUCUGGGCUGUAAACCUCUUUUAUCAAGGAAGAAGAUCUGACGGUACUUGAUGAAUAAGCCACGGCUAAUUCCGUGCCAGCAGCCGCGGUAAUACGGGAGUGGCAAGCGUUAUCCGGAAUUAUUGGGCGUAAAGCGUCCGCAGGCGGUCUUGUAAGUCUGUCGUUAAAGCGUGGAGCUUAACUCCAUUUCGGCGGUGGAAACUACAAGACUAGAGUGUGGUAGGGGCAGAGGGAAUUCCCGGUGUAGCGGUGAAAUGCGUAGAUAUCGGGAAGAACACCAGUGGCGAAGGCGCUCUGCUGGGCCAUAACUGACGCUCAUGGACGAAAGCUAGGGGAGCGAAAGGGAUUAGAUACCCCUGUAGUCCUAGCCGUAAACGAUGAACACUAGGUGUCGGGGGAAUCGACCCCCUCGGUGUCGUAGCUAACGCGUUAAGUGUUCCGCCUGGGGAGUACGCACGCAAGUGUGAAACUCAAAGGAAAUUGACGG
rnacentral:rRNA from 1 species